UGUGGGAUAGGGAAGCUCAUUAAGGAGCAUUAAAGAGGGGAAAAUUGGGUUUUUCCAGGUUCUAAUUCAAACCUCAAUUAACUUCCAGGUGCCUCGGAGGCUCAUUUUAAGGGCAUUAAGGGGGUUCUUUACAAUUUGCUCCCCACCCUUGCUCUUCCUACGGACACAGAACAAACUUCCAGGAUCCUGGAACAGCUGAGGAUGGUAUCCAGCCCCCCUCAGCCCCUGGAGGACCCUGAUCCCUCAGAGGUCCCUCAACCCUCGGAGAUCUCGCAGCCCCUGGAGGACCCUGAUCCCUCG
rnacentral:lncRNA from 1 species